AUUGAACGCUGGCGGCAGGCUUAACACAUGCAAGUCGAACGAGUGGCGGACGGGUGAGUAAUGCUUGGGAAUCUAGCUUAUGGAGGGGGAUAACUACGGGAAACUGUAGCUACUACCGAGUACCCUAGGAAGAGCCCAAGUGGGAUUAGGUAGUUGGUGGGGUAAAGGCUCACCAAGCCGACGAUCGCUAGCUGGUCUGCGAGGCGGACCAGCCACACUGGGACUGAGACACGGCCCAGACUCCUACGGGAGGCAGCAUUGGGGAAGAUUGCGCAAUGGGGGCAACCUGACGCAGCCAUGCCGCGUGAAUGAAGAAGGCCUUCGGGUUGUAGAGUUCUUUCGGUAGCGAGGCGUUAACUACAGAAGAAGCACCGGCUAAGUCCGUGCCAGCCGCCGCGGUAAUAC
rnacentral:rRNA from 1 species